UACAGGGGGGGCAAGCGUUGUUCGGAAUUACUGGGCGUGAAGGGCUCGUAGGUGGCCAACUAAGUCAGACGUGAAAUCCCUCAGCUUAACUGGGGAACUGCGUCUGAUACUGGAUGGCUCGAGUGUGGGAGAGGAAUGCGGAAUUCCAGGUGUAGCGGUGAAAUGCGUAGAUAUCUGGAGGAACACCGGUGGCGAAGGCGGCAUUCUGGACCACAACUGACACUGAGAGACGAAAUCCAGGGGAGCAAACGGG
rnacentral:rRNA from 1 species